rnacentral:ribozyme from 1 species
UCGUCAUCAACUCCUAUCCUUACCUCCUCGCGGUACUGACCGGGGUACGAGUUACCUAAGAGAAGAUCGGGUAACCAACCCCCGGUGGAAACUUUGGUCGUAUGCUGACAGGAAAGG